GCCUCGUACUGCGGGCUGGGAGCUCCCCCACUCGCCCGGACGGGGUUUGCCCGGAGGAAGCGGCUGAGACCGCUGGGCCGAACGGCGAUUCUCGGCACCGGCUGGGUGAGGUGGCCCGGAGUGUUCGGAAAAGUCCCGCGGUGAGAACUGUGAGGAGAAUAAAUGAGGCAAAGCCCUGAAUGCCGGGAGCCUUCCCUGGGUCUCGCCAUGUAUGCUCCAGGAAACCCUCUCCACGCUCAGCUCCUAGUUUGGAGCUGGAAUUUGUGAAACUUCAAAAAAUUAAAUAUAAAACCCGAAUCUAGAAUGUGCCAGGAGACCGGGCAUCCCAACCCCCACCUCAGCCGGUUUGCGCCGCCCCGCCGGCUUGCCCCGAGGCUGCCUGAGAAGAACUUUCCGAUUCCUCUGUGGGAGUGAAGAGGAAACGAGUAGAGAGGGGGCGUGCACACGAGCCUCCGGCCGCGCCACAUUCUCCUGCCGCUUUCGAGCUGGGGACAGGGUCCAGCUACACCACAGGCCUCCCCUCGGGUCGUGAAGGGCCUUUGCUGCUGGGCACGGGCGCUUCUUUUCCUCUCUGGAGCUUACAUUCAUUUCAACAAAGCUUUACUGGGCAUUUCCUUUGCACCAGGCACUGGGCGAGGGGCUGGACACGGCGACUUCUUCAAGGACCUCCCCGACAAGGUGGCUGCAGUCCAGUGGGGGACGGGAGAGGUAGCGACAGGCAAAAACCCACGUUGGAAAGUAAUGGCUGCGAGGAGAGGCUCCAGGGGUUGGGGGGAAUUCAGCAGAGCCAUACUGCAUUUGAAAAGGGGCUGGAGAAGCUUCCCUGGAAGCUCUGGAGCUCGAACUCGACCUUGCGACGUGGGAAGGUUGUAGAGGGUGUGGGACCGAAGGAGCCCAGGGGGCAAAGUCCAGGCCGAGGGCGCAGUAAGCGGUAAGAAGGCGCAGUGCAAGUUCAGAAAAAGAACACACGGUCCCGGCGGACGCCCGGGGUGUGUGGGUGGAGCGGCCCAAAAGAAUAUUAAAACCCAAAAGGAUCUUCAGAAACACCCUAUGAAGUUCCAACUUGAUUCUGUGAGCAAUGAGUAGCCCAUCCCCAGCCAAGUGCCAAGGCAGGAGUCUUAAGGUUCUAUAACUAACUUUUAAACUAUGAGCAUACAUUAUUUUCAUAAAAAUAAAAAGUUUGAAAAUGCAAAUAACAUUUGGACGUGCAGACAGGAAAUAGAAGACUAUUCUAAGAUAAAUGGCAGAAAUGUGGAGGUGAAAAUCUUCCAGUAAAUGAGAAGAGCAUGACAUGUUGUUGAAGCUCAAGAAAUGCUGGCCAAGGAGUGAAUGAUAAUCUGUGUGCUGUUCCGGGGAGAGCCCUGAGCUGAGAUCCAGAAGAUGUCAAUUCUGGUUGUUAUCUAGAGCUUCCCUUGGACCAAUCACAUACGUUCUCUGGACCUUAUUUUCUCCGUGGGAAGAUGAGGGGAUUGGGUGAUUUAUUAAAUUACUUCUGACUUACGAAU